rnacentral:rRNA from 1 species
AGAAUGAACGCUGGCGGCAUGCCUAACACAUGCAAGUCGAACGAAGCCUUCGGGCUUAGUGGCGCACGGGUGCGUAACGCGUGGGAAUCUACCCUUGGGUUCGGAAUAACAGUUAGAAAUGACUGCUAAUACCGAAUGAUGUCAUAAGACCAAAGAUUUAUCGCCCAGGGAUGAGCCCGCGUAGGAUUAGCUAGUUGGUGUGGUAAAAGCGCACCAAGGCGACGAUCCUUAGCUGGUCUGAGAGGAUGAUCAGCCACGCUGGGACUGAGACACGGCCCAGACUCCUACGGGAGGCAGCAGUGGGGAAUAUUGGACAAUGGGCGCAAGCCUGAUCCAGCAAUGCCGCGUGAGUGAAGAAGGUCUUCGGAUUGUAAAGCUCUUUCGACGGGGACGAUGAUGACGGUACCGUAGAAGAGCCCGGCUAACUUCGUGCCAGCAGCCGC